UACGUAGGGUGCGAGCGUUGUCCGGAAUUAUUGGGCGUAAAGGGCUCGUAGGCGGUUUGUCGCGUCGGGAGUGAAAUCCACUGGCUUAACUGGUGGCUUGCUUUCGAUACGGGCAGACUGGAGGUAUGCAGGGGAGAACGGAAUUCCUGGUGUAGCGGUGAAAUGCGCAGAUAUCAGGAGGAACACCGGUGGCGAAGGCGGUUCUCUGGGCAUGUCCUGACGCUCAGGGGUGAAAGCGUGGGGAGCAAACCGG
rnacentral:rRNA from 1 species